GAGCAAAACAGCUAUGGGUCAAGUGAUGAGCAUAGGAGAAGUCUUAUUGUAAGGGCGAGUUUUAUAAACCAAAAAACUGGCCGUCCCAUAUGAAAAGAUUAUAUUAGAAUUGAAUGAAGCUUUGUUUAUAUAUUGAUAAUGACAGUUCUCUAUGUCGGGUCUUGACUAAUUGCGUGCCAGCAGUCGCGGUAAUACGUAAGAGACUAGUGUUAUUCAUCUUAAUUAGGUUUAAAGGGUACCCAGACGGUCAAUAUAGCUUAUAAAAUGUUAGUACUUGACUAGAGUUUUAUGUAAGAGGGCAGUACUUGAGGAGGAGAGAUGAAAUUUCGUGAUACCAAAGGGACUCUGUAAAGGCGAAGGCAGCCCUCUAUGUAAAAACUGACGUUUAAGGACGAAGGCACAGAGAACAAACAGGAUUAGAUACCCAAGUAGUCUUUGCAGUAAAUGAUGAAUGCCAUAGGUUAGAUGGGUGGGUAGUCUAGUUGAGUUAGUUUAGCAAACUAAUGAUCUAGACGAGCCCACCAUAUAUUUGGUCUAUAAAUGAAAGUGUAAGCAUUUCACCUCAAGAGUAAUGUGGCAACGCAGGAACUGAAAUCACUAGACCGUUUCUGACACCAGUAGUGAAGUAUGUUAUUUAAU
rnacentral:rRNA from 1 species